GCAGUCUUAGUAUAGUGGUUAGUACAGCUCGUUGUGGAAUUGGGUCAAUUGAUCCGUUUCUUCUGAGCCGAGCAGACGGAUGUUCGAUUCCUCCAGACUGCA
rnacentral:tRNA from 1 species